rnacentral:rRNA from 1 species
GAUGAACGCUGGCGGCGUGCUUAACACAUGCAAGUCGAACGGAAAGGCCCAAGCUUGCUUGGGUACUCGAGUGGCGAACGGGUGAGUAACACGUGGGUGAUCUGCCCUGCACUUCGGGAUAAGCCUGGGAAACUGGGUCUAAUACCGGAUAGGACGAUGGUUUGGAUGCCAUUGUGGAAAGUUUUUUCGGUGUGGGAUGAGCUAGCGGCCUAUCAGCUUGUUGGUGGGGUAAUGGCCUACCAAGGCGUCGACGGGUAGCCGGCCUGAGAGGGUGUACGGCCACAUGGGGACUGGGAUACGGCCCAGACUCCUACGGGAGGCAGCAGGGGGGAAUAUUGCACAAUGGGCGCAAGCCUGAUGCAGCGACGCCGCGUGGGGGAUGACGGCCUUCGGGUUGUAAGCUCCUUUCGCUAGGGACGAAGCGUUUUUGUGACGGUACCUGGAGAAGAAGCACCGGCUAACUACGUG